UUGGGGGCCAACUGAGAUUCCCAGUGCCGUGUGGGAGAUAGAGUGUUAGGGCGCCGCCGUACUCUCCCCUAGACCAUCGCGCCACUCGAGGCCGAAUUGGUGUGCAUGGAGAUUCGCCUGACGCCACUGAAGCCGCUCAUCGCAUCGUUGGUCGGGAAGGGUCCCUAGUCUUCGAGCAAUUCAUCGCGGGAACCGGUCGUUCACUGUCAGGCCACAGGACGGCGUGGGUAGGGCUCUGGUUCGCGUAUAUAUCUCACAGUGAGUGCCCCUUCUUCCAUUUCGCCUCAGCCUACGGAUCGAUUUAGGGCAGUCGCACGGUAUUUCGGGUACCUGGACGUCGAUGCUUUGACCUCCGUCGGGGGGGGGUACUUACCGGCGUUCGUCGCCGCGGUGCUUGUGGUGCAACCUGGCCAGCACGGGGAAGACGACGACGUCUCGGCCGUUAGCUUCUGGAUGGACGGCACAGAUGUGUCGGUAGCUUAACCCUCCACCGUAAACAAUGAGGACCAUCGAUCUACACAUGUCUAGCUAAGAUUAGAUCUAGUGAUUGAGUGGCGUCGCGUGAUCUUGUUCGUCGAUCUCGGAUCGAACGCGCGGGGUGAAAAGUUAGUUGCGGAUAGUAAUGAUCUAAUCUGGUCUGUUGGGACGGAUCGGACAUUCAGGAUCACCCGAUACUCUUCACCGGCUACAUUUUAUAAAAGAUACCCUCAGAGUUUGUUAAAUUAACCUGCAGUCCUCUCUAGUAGGAAUCUAAGUCUAGGGAAUUUUUGUAGAUCAGCCCUUGCACUAUUCGAUAUUCGAUGUGCAGUCCAGAGAAUCGAUUAAUUAGAUAAAUAGUUAAGGAAAUUGAUUUUUAAUACAAAAAUAAUUCUAGAAACUUGUAUAAUUCAUAUUAAAUUCAUUUUAACUCCUUUUUGAUCCAUUCCAGAUGCAUUAAUUUUGUACUAAUAUUGUGUAUCAUCUGGCAACCUUAGUUUAGUAUGAAACUUAGAUUAAAUAAAUUACGCACUUAAUUCCUUUUUUAUCCAACACUUAAAACUUCGGAAAUCCAUAACUUCUUCGUCUUAACUCCGAUUUAGCCUGUUCAAGUUGCGUUGGUUUUGUAUUAAAAUUGUCUACACAGUAGCGAACCUUAUUAUAUCAAAUACUUAUAUAAUUAGAUAUUCGUGUAUCCUAUGAGUACUAGAUCUAUUUUACUAAAUAAGGUGAACAUGUCUAUAAUUAUAAUUUGACGGUAAUAUGAUUUCUAAACAAGUAUAAUCUAGAUUAAAGUUGAAUUGAUUAUUUAGAGUAUAUUUUCUCAUAUGAUGUAUAAUAAUCAAUUUAUAAUAUAAUUUAAUAUUCAACCACAUAGAUCUUUCGUAAAUCAUAACUCGGUAACCGUAACUCCAAUGUUAGUGAUUCUCGAGCCCACGAUCUCGAAGCUUCACGUAGAUCAUUAUUAUUCAGUUUGUACUUAGGUUUGAUGUGAUGUUAAUUUUGCCUAUGCCAUGUUUGUUUGUAUUGCUACGACUAGCAGUGAGGUCACGAGUCAUAUGAAGAUCAUCCUGGUAUCUGGAAUCUCAAGUCCCAGGUAAGUUGUGCCCUUGAUCACUAUUAUUUACCCAGUAAUGUCCUUUAUAAUAAUUUAUUCAUGCAUAUGCUUAAUUUUUAUGGGACCCAAUAGGUCACCCUAGUAUGGUUAUCUUAUUACCUUGUUUGCCCCUGAACUAUUUGGGUAGUUUUGCUAUUGCUCUAUAUGGUUUUGGGUUUAAUAUUACAUUAUGUUCAUGUUCUAAUUAUACUGUUAUUUUAUUUAUUGUUCAUGAUAAGAUCAUUAUUUUAAUUGGAACAUGGAGCUUAACUUGAGAAACACGUGCCACCACAAGGGUGGAAUGGGACGCCCUUGGCUGACUAACUAGGAAAGCUAGUGGAGGACUACCUUACUCGAUAGGGGCAAGGGCAGUAGGGGAGUAGGCGUGUAGGGAGGUCCCUGGGUUGAUUUUGCUACGAUGGCGGUCAGACGAGGGAUUCCUGUAUUGCUCUUUCUAGAAAUUGUAGCGGUUUUUCUGAAGCUAGUGGAACUUUGUAAAGGCCUCGUAGUGUAUCACUAGCCAUUCACCUAGGUAGUGUCUAAGGGUCUAGCUAACCCUGGCGACAUGGGACACACGACUUGUGGGUACACGUUACAACCUCUAUAGAGUGUAAAACUGGUAUACUAGCCGUGCUCGUGGUCAUGAGCAGCUCAGGGCUCUCGCAUGAUUAAACUAUGGAACUAAAUUCAAAUUGUCAUAUUUAUUGCAUGUGAUUUAUUAUUAAUUUUGUUCUAUUAUUAUUAUGGUUUGGUAUUUACUUACAUUCAGUAAGUGCUCAUAAAAAUUUGACCAACUUAUUAAAAGCAAUGCUCAGCUUUGACCCCUAUUAUUGAUCAGCCUUACACACCAUAUGAACUCCCACCUUUGGUGAGUUCAGGUACAUUAUUCGCCACAACUUGUUGAGCAAUGAACAUAUGUGAGAUUACCCUUGCUGUCUCACACCUCCCACAGGUCAAGAACAGGUAACACAGGAUGAAGCCCAUGGAGGUUGCUGCGAUGUAUUCGUGAGAGGUCUAGGCCGUCGUCUCCCAGUCAACUUUGGGUUGCUGGAUCGUUGUCUCCU
rnacentral:lncRNA from 1 species